GUUGUUUUUCAAUUUUCUAAUUGGUAAAUGCAUUUAAAAAGCUUUUUUGAUUUCAAAAUAAAUUUGUUAUUUUCAAGAAUAUUCCAAAACGCUGUAUAUUAUGUUAUAAAAUCUGUUUCUGAUUGAAAAACUACUGAACUAUUUUGGUAAACACGUCGCGCAGGAAUAAAUUUGUGUUGAGGUAUAAAUACCAAAUGUCGAGAUAAACAGUAUUUACGCAGCAAAGACGAACGAGAAUGGUUGAGAAACGCUAUAGCAGAAUUCUUCAAGUUCAAGUUGAUAACAUGGACAGGCAAGAACAUCACAUAAGUAAAUAUUUGCUUUGUAUGUUGUUCUGCAUGGCUUUUAUUUAAUAUUUAUAUUAUUUAAUCUUCAGAAUACGUGGCUCGUUGAAAAAGGGGGAAUUACUAAAAUUAUAAUGCCACAUAUCUUUCUUUACAUAUUUGGGCGGGCAAAUAUAUCUUCUGCAUACGAUUUUUUAGUGCGAAGUUAUGGGUUUCGCCUAUUCUGAGUAUCUUUGGUUUCUUUCCACUCCUAUCUGUAAGGUGGGAUACGUUUUAGGACUUCCAUAUGGGCUUUAUGAUCAUUGAUGAUAAAAUUUUGCCACAUCAAAUCAUGUGGCUCCAAACAGACUUGGUUAGCUUGAAAUAUAUUUUGAGAAAAUUGUUAUUUUAUUAUAAUGUCGCCAUAUUGUAGAUUGAAAUCUAUAUUCAUUUAUACUGAUUUCGUAAAAAAAAUUGAAUAUUGAUUGAAAAUGAUUUAUAGUUCCAUGACAAAGGGUCAUAUAUAGCGCUUCAGUAAUGGGGGUACCUUCAUGACAAACAACGUUAAAAGUUCUUGCGAAAUGAUGUUAAUGGUAAUUUUUGGUACAUGGUGGUAAAAUGUACAUUCUCUUUUAGACGAUAAAAACAUCAAAUUAUUUAGAUGACUAGUUUUUUUUUCAAAAAUUAAUGUUCAUUACUUAAGACCUCUGACAAAUUACGAUAAUGCUAUUUUGACGAUUUACGGUAUAAUUAUAACAAAUUUGACGCCAACGGUAGCAAGAUGACUGUUCAACUCCUGACAUUAAAGGGCAUUAUUACACCAAGUAAAGUUAGACCACAAAGAAAUGAUACACUUAGGUGUGCCAACACAAAACUAUCAUCAACUCCAACAUUCUAGCCAUGAACAGUUAAAUCACCAAACUUUACCCUCAAUUAAGGCCCUUUGUUUUGAAAAACCAUAACCAAUGAUAUAUUUUAGUAUUGUGGCAAAUCAAAUUUUAUUUUGGUGUCACAUGUACAUUCCAGUCUGAGUUAUUCCCCUUUAUAGAUGUAAAAUUAGCUGAAUUAUUUGUUUCUUAACCUUCAAAUAACUACUGGUUAAAUUUAAAAUAAUAAAAAAAUCAUCAAUCAUGAACUAUAUUUGUUCUUGGUUACUGAUGUUCUAAUAUAUACAAUAUUAUGAUAUAAUGUUGGCCAUAUAUAUUCGCAUUCAAAGACGAAAUAAUUUCAAAAUAAAUUUGUUAUUUUCGAGAAUAUUCAAAAAAGCUGUAUAUUAUGUUAUAAAAUCUGUUUCUGAUUGAAAAACUACUGAACUAUUUUGGUAAACACGUCGCGCAGGAAUAAUAUAUACAAUAUUAUGAUAUAAUGUUGGCCAUAUAUAUAUUCACAAUCAAAGACAAAGGGAAAUAAUUAAAAUUGUCUAUUUAAAAUCUGAAUCGCUAUAACAAUCAGUUUAGUGCAGGGCAGUAUAAAAUUCAACUAUUAAAUUCAAAGGUCAUAAUUUUCAUCAGCAUUGACAUGAUUUGUUUUAAAUUAACUGCUCAGUGUAAAGUCAAACGUUGACUCAAAAAAAAAGAGAUUAUAAGUUUUGAUCUUAGAACACUGCAAUUUUCACAUACAAAUCUUUGCACUUGCAUUGCUAGCUCUGCCUCUGGGGAUUUUUUUUUAUAAGCAAUUUGUUGAUUUUAGAUUGUACAUGGUAUACAGUACUUGCGACAUGAAAGAAAUGAUGAAUAUUUAUUCAGAUGUGAUGCACAUGGGACAAAUCCUGGGUAGAACCUGAAACCCUGAACCAUGGAUUAGCUUUUUGAAGGUAAUUUAUCUAACAUUAGUUUACUUGCACUGAGAAAUUUGCAUGCCAUACACUUGUUAUUACUGACUUACAAUGUAGUGUUCUUAAAUUCUUUGUUAAAAUUUAGGAUAAGCUUACAAUAUGCAUCAGGUUUAUGAAAUCUUCAAAUCUUGUUUUUUUUUAAACAAAAGCAGAUACUUAAAAAAAAAAAACAUUGAUAAACUCAAGAUUUCUCUAAUUAUAAUAAUAAAUAAAUCACGGCUGACUUUUUUAUGCUCAUGUUCAGUUGAUGAAGUUUUGAAAAUAAAUCUCGUAUCCUACCUGUAAAUCUGCAUUGUUGCCAAGGUAUUUAUUUUGUUUCUUUUCAGGAAAUGGUUGUCAAUGAUGUUGCAUAUUGUCUUGGGUUUUAGUUGCAUGGGGAUAGUCGACUUACUGGAAAUAUGUGGACCCUAGUGAUUGUUGUCUGGUGGAAGAUGGCCAUUGACGUGAUAACUAAUCUGUUGGUCAUUGUGUAGAAGAGGGGCAUUGAAGAUAAAUAAGUGGGCAGUUUUAUCAUCUUUGAAUAGAUUUUCAAUGCAAUAGUUUCAAUUUUGCCAUAGAUAAUUGAAAAAGUUUCAGGUUCCAAAGGACAAUACCAUAUACUGGCAGCAAAUAAUUUUUUCUUGUGCAUUAUCCCUAUAUGCAUUUAGAUCCUUGAUGUCUGACGUCCUGCCUUGAUGUUUUCUUUUGUCUAUUAAUUUAGAUUUUAAACAACUUAUACUUUUUAUUCAUGGAUUUAUUAUUUGGAUUUUGAUUGUGCUAUCUAGUAAAACAUGCAGUGUUGUAGAAUUUUUUUCCAUUGGGACCAACAUCUUAGCAUGGGAAUGACCACCUACCUUCAUUGCAGAUAUUAGUGGGAAUGGAAUGCAAAGACUGGAAAAAAUAUGAUAUAUUAAAUAAUUUAAAACAAGAUUUUUUUCCUCCUUGACAGCCUUUGAUUAAUACAACUUAAAUAGCCUUGAUUUGACUCUUUCUGUUUGUUUCAGAGAUUCUUUCUUGCAUUUAAAAUUUCUGUGUAACCGCAAAGGAUUUAGAAUAAUAAAUUGCAUUAAACAGUCAUUGAAAUGGCAGGGAAUUAAAAAUAUUAUUUGCUAUAUAUUGUAAUCUUGAGUAUUUAUCUAGGUGAUGUGGUUUGUAGAUUAAUAACCCUAAGCAAUUCUUUAAAUUUUAGACGCAUUAAACAAUUGUAUCUAUACCUGCUAAAUCAUAUACAAGUACCUUGUAACUAAUAGAUUAAUUCACUGAUUUUUAUCCAAUCUAAUACAGAUUAGUUAUAACAGCUUUGUUGACCUUGAGCAAUUUGGUGUAAGUGUUUUGAAGUUUGUUUCCAUCUUAUUUCUCAGCACCAACCAAUGAAACUACAAAUGUCGGAAUGUGCAAGUAGACAAGUUACGGUAACGAUAUGAAAAAGAAUUUUCAGAAAUCCUGCAUCUAGGACUUCACAUAAGUACAAAUGUACACCACAGAUUUGGAUCACUUGUUUAUAGAAUUUAUUUAUUUAAUUGGACAACUUCUCAAAGAAAAGCCAAAUAAUAUGGUUAUAGCUAGGAUUGAUUUGUAGAAAUUUGUUGAAAGGAUUCACAAGAUAUGAAACCAUGCCAAUUUAUAUUGAAAGAAAUUAAAGUUGAGAAAGUUCACCUAUAAAUAUAAAAUACCAAGUUUGACUUGAUACUGAAACGAAUUCUGAGUAUUGGAUGUUUGUUGCAGGUUUCCAUUUCUGUUUUAAUUUAGAAAUCUACAAAAUGAAAAUGCAGGAAUGGCUGUAUAGUUUAUAUAAGAUCAGAAUAUUUGAUAAAAAGGGAUAGAUAUAUUUGGAUAAAGAUGAGACCUCAUCCUUGAAAUUUUGAUAUAGUUUUCACAUGCUGUGUGUUACCCUUUGAAGCUUUGUGGUGGAAUAGGGUUAUAUUUGGACAUACAAGCUAUUUAUACAUUUUACUAUAAGC
rnacentral:lncRNA from 1 species